UUAAGCGGAGAUAUGGCUGCUGGCACUCUGCAACUCACAACUGGCAACCCACUGAAGCUAAGCAGGUGUGAGCCUGGUCAGUACCUGGAUGGGAGACCUCCUGGGAAAAACUGAGGUUGCUGCUAGAG
rfam:Lepisosteus oculatus linkage group LG9, whole genome shotgun sequence.